CGAAUUAAACUCAAGUUGGUAUAUUGUUUAAUUAGUUUAUUGUCGAUCUAGUGCUACCAAACUAAUGGCGCUACAAAUUAAAGUCGUCUCCGAAUAUAUAUAUAUUUUUUUUUAUAAAAUCUAUCGGCUAUCUGGUCGGUCCCGGUAGGAACGCACCAAGAUGCUACAUAGUGGACUAGUGUACCGUGUUAACGGUUAGGCCUUUACGGGCUACCACUGUGCCUAUCCUGAGUUUGGAAUGCCUUCCGAUUAAGUGUCAGGUGGUAGUCAGGCCGCCUGCAUUUCUGACUAUCAGAUAAACCAAUUGGACCAAAGCACAACCGACGGACUUCCCACAAUAAUAUUGAUAACAACAGGAGAAGUCGAACCAUGGAGGAAGAGAGAAUUGCACCUAACCACCCUGGACCCACAAAGCCACCAGCCCACCAUCAUGUGG
rnacentral:lncRNA from 1 species